rnacentral:rRNA from 1 species
AUUGAACGCUGGCGGCAGGCCUAACACAUGCAAGUCGAGCGGAGCGGCGGACGGGUGCGUGAGGCCUAGGUAUCUGACUGGUAGUGGGGGAUAGCGUCCGCAAAUGGGCGCUAAUACCACAUCCUAUCAGAUUAGCCUAGGGCGGAUUAGCUGGUUGGUGGGGUAAAGGCAUACCAAGGCGACGAUCCGGAACCGGUUUGAGAGGAUGAUCAGUCACACGGGAACUGAGACACGGACCAGACGCCUACGGGAGGCAGCAGUGGGGAAUAUUGGACAAUGGGCGAAAGCCUGAUCCAGCCAUGCCGCGUGUGUGAAGAAGGUCUUCGGGUUGUAAAGCACUUUAAGUUGGGAGGCGUUACCAACAGAAUAAGCACCGGCUAACUUCGUGCCAGCAGCCGCGGUAAUUC